ensembl:lncRNA
GUAGAGAGAAAGAGAGGGUAGGGGUAGAGAGAAAGAGAGGGUAGGGGUAGAGAGAAACAGAGGGUAGGGGUAGAGAGAAAGAUAUGGAGAACAAUGCCUUCACAUUGGCCGGGAGAAAGAAAAAGAGAAAUAGAAAGAGGACAAGCCUUGACGUGGGCAACACAUCCACCCUGGCCACUGCUGCGGAGACCGCAGGGCUGGCAUACUGAGACCGCAAGGCUGGCAUGCUGAGACCGCAGGGCUGGCAUACUGAGACUGCAGGGUUGGCAUACUGAGACCGCAGGGUUGGCAUACUGAGACCGCAGGGCUGGCAUACUGAGACCGCAGGGCUGGCAUACUGAGACCGCAGGGCUGGCAUACUGAGACCGCAGGGCUGGCAUACUGAGACCGCAGGGCUGGCAUACUGAGACCGCAGGGCUGGCAUACUGAGCUCCUAAAGAGAACAGUAUGUUUGUCUAAGAGAAAAUGAACUCCUGCAUUCACACAGUCAACAGCUGCUGCAGCAGUUGAGAUCUGCUAAAAGCUAAAAGCAGAUGCUGAAAGGAGAAUGGGUUUCAAAUGUACCGUGUCUAUCCAUGUCUCAGUUCAAUCAGUAUCGGUGGAAUAUUCCAAUUUCUGUACAAUGCUGUAACUCCAUUUUGAGUCAUCCAUGUUUGUGGCUCUUACGCCAUAGAUGUUGACUGGUAGAUGGAUAUGUUUGUGUUUUAUCCUUCUCCUUUGUCUUUUGCGUGAGUUGGCUAAAACAGAAACAAAUCUGGCGCAAAGCUCCAUGUUCACUGUCACCUUUUGCACCAUUAUGGCCUUUUGAUGUGUUUGAAUGACUAACCGUCCUCAGGUCUAGACGCUGUCACCAUUAUGGCCUUUUGAUGUGUUUGAAUGACUAACCGUCCUCAAGUCUAGACGCUGUCACCAUUAUGGCCUUUUGAUGUGUUUGAAUGACUAACCGUCCUCAGGUCUAGACGCUGUCAGCAGCAGCAAUGGAUAUUUUCCAGGACUCUAUAAUAUGCAGUAGUAGGCUGUUAACAGUACAGUUCCGUAAUGAAUAGCAGAUCCCUUUGGUUCCCUCGGCCUACUCAUUCACAUUUCGUUAUUAAGGGCUUCAGUUAAUAUCGUCUUCAACAACAUUUUAUAUCACAAAACACCUACAUGUUAUUACGAAACAGUGUUAAGUUAACCUCCUUACACACACGCACGUAUGUACAAAUACAUGCUCCCACAAAUGUAGGCAUGCACGUACACACACAAACACACACGCCCCCCUCCGACACACACAGUCAAACUCUUUAAUCAAUAAAAGCUGUAGAUGAAAUCACACUGAAUAGACCUUAGAUGUGUCUUUACAGGGCUAUUUAACAAUGUAAAACAAACAUAUUAUAGGCUAAUAUGUGUUUUUUAAUUUAAUUGUAUGGUGCUUGUGUACAGUUGCUAUUGACAUAACAAAAUAGUCUAUUCUAUGUGUUGCUUUUCAAUGUUUGUAUUGUGUUCCAUCAUUUUAAUAACAACUUUGUAUAUGUUUGGUUAGUAUUCAUCACAUCCACUUCAUCAUUAUCUUGUACUGUACAAUACAUAUCCCAUGCUGUUGGACUAUCUAGCGUUGGGAUUUCUAUAAUGGCCAGUUUGCUAACCAGUUAUCCGAUGCAAUAAUGUUUGAAACCAUAUGUAAGCUGAGGGUGUGAGCUAUGGUACUUAUUUAAUAUGCAUAUGGAACGAUUGUGCUGUCAGGGACUCAAAUAACUCCCAAAACCAAAUAUUUGUUUAAUGUGUGACCAAAGUAUACUUUCAUGAAAAUAAAUUAGCAAUUCUUAUGUCAAAUGGUUUCACAUGAAGAUUUGUUUCAUGUUAACCCAUUUACUAAAGAUAUUUAUUUUGAGUCCACUAUUACUAGGUUUCUAUUCAACCAUUUCGUGAGGAUGAAUUACCUGAUGCAUGAAAAUAGUCACGAACGGACUGAUGCUAACAUAAUAUGACGGUACAAUUUUAUUAAUGUCUACAGACAAUUUGUUUGUUCGACAUGGUGGAAUCUUUUUGUGUUAGUAAAAUUAUGUAUGCGAGAAAUGCCGGUAGAAACGCCUUUAUGCUCAAAUAUUGAUAUAAUAACCAUCAUAUGGACGUUAACUUGGAGUCAUGCGAUGAUAUGUUGUGUGGUCCUCCCACUACGACUCAGGAAACCAUGUAGUUUAUUAGGCUACUGAUUAAAUAACAAUGAACUUCACAGGGUGGUGAAAGAGCAAGCUGAUGAGCUUGAUGCUCCUUUCUAAUCAAUAUCCAGGGUCUUAUUCUGGUGACAUGAACUGAUGCUUGGCUGCCGCUUGAAAAUAAAAAAUAAUAUUGCUCUUAUCCACAAUAAUCUAAUAAUGUAGGUAACCUACCUGCACUGUGUCUGUGAGCUGUUGGCUAACACGCACUUGCCAAUACCAGAGUGGGCAUAUAAAGCAACAGUUAGUCUGACAAAACCAUCAGUAGAGUUGAAAAUGCGAUUGAAACCCAUUUAACUUGUGAUUUUCAUUCUGUACAUGGCAAUUUAACCGCAGAAGGUAAUUGUAUUUACACUACGUCAUCACACACAGCCUUUUAUCAGCAAUAAGUCCAUUUGAUGGAAACACCUCUCAUGUGAGCAUGUUAUUUUAUGCAGAUUUUAGAAUAUUCGCAUCAAAUUGGAUGGAAACCUUGCUAAUGUUGUUAUGCCUAAUUGGUGUGUUUGUAUGGAAAACCGGAAUUGGACUUGGUGAUGUCUGCCCUCGGAAUAGCUGGGAUAGCUGUGGUUCAGUACUAGCUGCCUUGACUGCACAGCUGACUUACAGCCCAAAUAUCACUACAUUCAUUACUGUGAACCAAUAAAAAAACAGAUGCAAAGUUGUCUACCCUGCCUGUUUUUUUCUGAUCUUCUUGAUUCUCUUCGUCUUAAUUCUCUUUGACUUUAUGUCUACCCAGCCCAGCUCUAAAAAC